AGGGCCAGGAACCUUGGGAAGACCCACAGGACAGAGAAGGUGGGCCAGAGAGGGAUGCUCAGGGGAGUGAAGGAAGCAUGAAGAACACACUGGCAGGGAAGACAGAGGAGGAGGAGUUUGGAUAAAGCUGAGGACUACUAAGAACAAUCGCUGGUUUCAUUAACCAAGUGGUCCCGGGGACCUCUGAGAAGGCAGGUUCAGAAGAGAACCACAGGCAGAAGCCAGACGUCAGAGCUUUGGGAGCCACACAGCACAUGCUAUUCAAAAACCACAUGGCAGGGGAUAUUUGAAAAUGAACACACACACCUUCCAAAGGGUCAUUCAUCUUUUUGGAAGACACGUCGAAUACAAAUAUCACCUUGGAGUUAGGGAUGGAAUCGCCAUGGAACGGAAAAACGGCAUGGCAGAGACUGUCAGAAACUGAUGAUCGGGAUCAUUACCUCCAGUGUAAAACCAAUGUGGUGCAAAGAUAACUAAUUACUCCUGGGAUCUGUAACACCCAGACAUUCAUCCUCUGUCAGCCGUUACUUCGUCAGGCCAAGAAAACAAACGGGAGGGAAGGAAAGACUGCCUGGCCCACAGAUCAGAAGCUCACUGGUUAAUUCCCACAGGCCGUGGCUGGACUAUGCGCAUCUCCAGGGAGGGGGCAGGUCCCUGUUUCAUGACGCUUCCGAUUCUGUAGUCUGCUCCAGGAAAAAUCCAAUGUAUGAGAACCACACAGAGAAGCCUAAGUCAGGGCACAGGUGUUCUAAACUGAGUAAUUCUUUGCCUUGCAAAGGACUCACGGUGGGCAGGAUUCUUGCCCGUGGCGCUCACCUUGGCAUCCACACCACCUCCACAACAGAGAUUUGCACACAACUUUUCUCUAAUGCAUGUGAGAGGCUUGAGAACCACCUACAGUGAGAAUUUGACCACAGAAAAUAAGAAAAAAAUAGGAGGAGCGUAAAGGAGACAAACAUGAUUGGGAAAACCACAGGGCCACACACGAUAUUUACUUCAAACAAGCUUUCGCUUGGUUCAAAGUUCUACGGUCUCAAAUUUAAAUGACCCCAGGGAGAUAGAUGGCCACCCUGUCCUAUAAUCUCCUAUUACCAUCAGAAUGCUGACCAACAGCUCAGGGAAUAUCUGAUUCACAGUCCAGGAAAAACCAAAACGAGUGUCUAGAGUGACUUACAGUGUAGUUUAAGUAAGGUAGCUGAGAAGGCUGGCAUUUUAUAGCAGAAGUAAACAAUCCCAGGUCUCACUGGGGGCAGAAAUCAACUUCUCCAAAUGAAGUUCUGAAUUCCUUCCUCCCCAGCCACUCCCCUUCACCAACUAAAGCUUUACCACCUCCAGACACUGCUGUUCAGUCCUACUAUGGAGUCCCUCCCAGGUGACAGCAUUAUUCUAGGUCAGGGCAAACCCAGCCCAAGCCCCACCCUCAUGGG